UACGGGGGAUGCAAGCGUUAUCCGGAUUUAUUGGGUUUAAAGGGUGCGUAGGCUGUGAGGUAAGUCAGCGGUGAAAUGCCCCCGCUCAACGGGGUGAAGUGCUAUUGAUACUGCCUUGCUGGAAUGCGGAUGCCGUGGGAGGAAUGUGUGGUGUAGCGGUGAAAUGCAUAGAUAUCACACAGAACACCGAUUGCGAAGGCAUCUCACGAAUCCGCGAUUGACGCUGAUGCACGAAAGCGUGGGUAUCAAACAGG
rnacentral:rRNA from 1 species